rnacentral:rRNA from 1 species
CCUACGGGAGGCAGCAGUGAGGAAUAUUGGUCAAUGGACGAGAGUCUGAACCAGCCAAGUAGCGUGAAGGAUGACUGCCCUAUGGGUUGUAAACUUCUUUUAUAAAGGAAUAAAACGAGGCACGUGUGCCUUUUUGCAUGUACUUUAUGAAUAAGGAUCGGCUAACUCCGUGCCAGCAGCCGCGGUAAUACGAAGGAUUCGAGCGUUAUCCGGAUUUAUUGGGUUUAAAGGGAGCGUAGAUGGGUUGUUAAGUCAGUUGUGAAAGUUUGCGGCUCAACCGUAAAAUUGCAAGUGAUACGGGGAGUCUUGAGAGCAGUUGAGGUAGGCGGAAUUCGUGGUGUAGCGGUGAAAUGCUUAGAGAUCACGCAGAACCCCGAUUGCGAAGGCAGCUUACUAAGCUGUGACUGACAUUGAUGCUCGAAAGUGUGGGUAGCAAACAGGAUUAGAUACCCUUGUAGUC